rnacentral:sRNA from 1 species
UCCUAGCCCCGAUAGAAGUGGAAAUCCUUUUGUGGCGGGGUUCGCCACAAAAGAUUGGAACGGAUAGCGGGAUUAGCU